GGGAAUCAGGGUUCGAUUCCGGAGAGGGAGCCUGAGAAACGGCUACCACUUCCAAGGAAGGCAGCAGGCGCGCAAAUUACCCAAUCCCGGCACGGGGAGGUAGUGACGAAAAAUACGGAUACGGGACUCAUCAGAGGCUCCGUAAUUCGAAUGAGUACACUUUAAAUCCUUGUACGAGGAUCAACUGGAGGGCAAGUCUGGUGCCAGCAGCCGCGGUAACUCCAGCUCCAGAAGCGUAUAUUAAAGUUGUUGCAGUUAAAAAGCUCGUAGUUGGAUCUGGGUCGCAUGGCUACAUGCUGCGCUCGUAUUUCCAAUCUGGUUACGACUGGAGCGGAUUUGUGAGUCAGUGUCGUGGUUGUGCAGCCUUUCUGCCGUGUCUGGUUUCCAGGUGCUGGCUAUCAGUGGGUUCGUCUCGCUGUUUAGUUGGCAUGCUUCUCGAUGCCUUUCAACGGGUGUCGGAUGCGGACGGCACGUUUACUUUGAACAAAUUUGAGUGCUCAAAGCAGGCCACAGAGCCUGAAAAUUCUUGCAUGGAAUAAUGAAAUAGGACUUCGGUUCUAUUUUGUUGGUUUUCGGAUCCGAAGUAAUGGUUAAGAGGGACAGACGGGGGCAUUUGUAUGGCGGUGUUAGAGGUGAAAUUCUUGGAUCGCCGCCAGACAAACUACAGCGAAAGCAUUUGCCAAGGAUGUUUUCAUUGAUCUGGAGCGAAAGUCAGAGGUUCGAAGACGAUCAGAUACCGUCCUAGUUCUGACCAUAAACGAUGCCAACUGACGAUCCGCGGUGGUUCUUUUAUUGUCCCCGCGGGCAGUCCCCGGGAAACCUUUAAGUCUUUGGGCUCCGGGGGAAGUAUGGUUGCAAAGCUGAAACUUAAAGGAAUUGACGGAAGGGCACCACCAGGAGUGGAGCCUGCGGCUUAAUUCGACUCAACACGGGAAAUCUCACCCGGCCCGGACACCGUGAGGAUUGACAGAUUGAAAGCUCUUUCUUGAUUCGGUGGUUGGUGGUGCAUGGCCGUUCUUAGUUGGUGGAGCGAUUUGUCUGGUUAAUUCCGAUAACGAACGAGACUUUGGCCUGCUAAAUAGUAAGCCUGUCCUGUGUGCUCGUGCGGGUGACGGUGCUCAUUGCCCUUCGAGGCGGUGGUGUCGUUCGCCGGCGGGUGCUGCGCAGGUGUUUACUUCUUAGAGGGACAAGCGGCGAGACAGUCGCACGAAAAUGAGCAAUAACAGGUCUGUGAUGCCCUUAGAUGUCCGGGGCCGCACGUGCGCUACAAUGACGGUUUCAGCGAGUUUGGAAACCUGGCCUGAGAGGGUUGGGCAAACUGAAUCAUCACCGUCGUGACUGGGAUCGGGGCUUGCAAUUAUUCCCCGUGAACGAGGAAUUCCUGGUAAGUGCAAGUCAUAAGCUUGCGCUGAU
rnacentral:rRNA from 1 species